rnacentral:rRNA from 1 species
AAACUCAAAUGAAUUGACGGGGGCCCGCACAAGCGGUGGAGCAUGUGGUUUAAUUCGAUGCAACGGAAGAACCUUACCUGGCCUUGACAUAGUAGAGACUUUCCAGAGAUGGAAAACGUGCCUUCGGGAAUCUACAUACAGGUGCUGCAUGGCUGUCGUCAGCUCGUGUCGUGAGAUGUUGGGUUAAGUCCCGCAACGAGCGCAACCCUUUUCCUUACUUGCCAGCAUUUCGGAUGGGAACUUUAAGGAUACUGCCAGUGACAAACUGGAGGAAGGCGGGGACGACGUCAAGUCAUCAUGGCCCUUACGGCCAGGGCUACACACGUGCUACAAUGGUCGGUACAAAGGGUUGCUACACAGCGAUGUGAUGCUAAUCUCAAAAAGCCGAUCGUAGUCCGGAUCGCAGUCUGCAACUCGACUGCGUGAAGUCGGAAUCGCUAGUAAUCGCGGAUCAGAAUGCCGCGGUGAAUACGUUCCCGGGCCUUGUACACACCGCCCGU